GAUUCUUGGUCAUUUAGAGGAAGUAAAAGUCGUAACAAGGUUUCCGUAGGUGAACCUGCGGAAGGAUCAUUAAAGAAAUUGUGAUGGGCUCGUGAACGGGUUGCUGCUGGUCCCCCCCCCUGGGGGGGGCAUGUGCACGCUUGUGAUCGGGUGUGUUCAUCCUUUUCUUCCACACACACCUGUGCACGAUCUGUAGCUUGGGGGAUGAUCACGGAAUGGUAUUCUGAAUGCCCCUACGCUAUGUGUAUACACACACGCUCUAUGUAUUUUUUGGAAUGUUAUGGGAUAUAUGCGCGUAAUUACCGUGCAGAUGCAAUACAACUUUCAGCAACGGAUCUCUUGGCUCUCGCAUCGAUGAAGAACGCAGCGAAAUGCGAUAAGUAAUGUGAAUUGCAGAAUUCAGUGAAUCAUCGAAUCUUUGAACGCACCUUGCGCUCCUUGGUAUUCCGAGGAGUAUGCCUGUUUGAGUGUCAUGAAAUUAUCAACUGCUUCGAUUUUGAAGUGAAGUUGGAUUUGGAGUGUUUGCUGGCGAUUUACGUUCGGCUCCUCUCAAAAGCAUUUAAAGCCCCCUAGUCUUGGCGUUGAAGUACCUUUGACGUGAUAACUAUCUACGUCGCAGAGAAAGCCUCGAAUGUGCUUAUGGGCCAUAUUCAAAAGGUCUUUUUUUAAGACUUUUUGCUUUGAUCAAUUUGACCUCAAAUCAGGCAGGACUACCCGCUGAACUUAAGCAUAUCAAUAAGCGGAGGAAAU
rnacentral:rRNA from 1 species